UACGUAGGUGGCGAGCGUUAUCCGGAAUUAUUGGGCGUAAAGAGCGCGCAGGUGGUUGAUUAAGUCUGAUGUGAAAGCCCACGGCUUAACCGUGGAGGGUCAUUGGAAACUGGUCGACUUGAGUGCAGAAGAGGGAAGUGGAAUUCCACGUGUAGCGGUGAAAUGCGUAGAGAUGUGGAGGAACACCAGUGGCGAAGGCGGCUUUCUGGUCUGUAACUGACGCUGAGGCGCGAAAGCGUGGGGGAGCAAACAGG
rnacentral:rRNA from 1 species